GCAUGGUAAUGGAUUUAUGGCGGGCCUGUCUAUGUGGGCCUUUCAUGGUGUACCCAUGCCAGAGUAAGUGGCCUCUAACCAUUGCCCAGCCUCUUGUGGACUGUGAGCACUGAAGAAGGUUGCACAGUU
ensembl:snoRNA